AAAGUUUGAUCAUGGNUCANGAUGACCGCUGGCGGCGUGCUUAACACAUGCAAGUCGAACGAUGACCCGGUGCUUGCACCGGUGAUUAGUGGCGAACGGGUGAGUAACACGUGAGUAACCUGCCCUUAACUCUGGGAUAAGCCUGGGAAACUGGGUCUAAUACCGGAUAUGACUCCUCAUCGCAUGGUGGGGGGUGGAAAGCUUUAUUGUGGUUUUGGAUGGACUCGCGGCCUAUCAGCUUGUUGGUGAGGUAAUGGCUCACCAAGGCGACGACGGGUAGCCGGCCUGAGAGGGUGACCGGCCACACUGGGACUGAGACACGGCCCAGACUCCUACGGGAGGCAGCAGUGGGGAAUAUUGCACAAUGGGCGAAAGCCUGAUGCAGCGACGCCGCGUGAGGGAUGACGGCCUUCGGGUUGUAAACCUCUUUCAGUAGGGAAGAAGCGAAAGUGACGGUACCUGCAGAAGAAGCGCCGGCUAACUACGUGCCAGCAGCCGCGGUAAUACGUAGGGCGCAAGCGUUAUCCGGAAUUAUUGGGCGUAAAGAGCUCGUAGGCGGUUUGUCGCGUCUGCCGUGAAAGUCCGGGGCUCAACUCCGGAUCUGCGGUGGGUACGGGCAGACUAGAGUGAUGUAGGGGAGACUGGAAUUCCUGGUGUAGCGGUGAAAUGCGCAGAUAUCAGGAGGAACACCGAUGGCGAAGGCAGGUCUCUGGGCAUUAACUGACGCUGAGGAGCGAAAGCAUGGGGAGCGAACAGGAUUAGAUACCCUGGUAGUCCAUGCCGUAAACGUUGGGCACUAGGUGUGGGGGACAUUCCACGUUUUCCGCGCCGUAGCUAACGCAUUAAGUGCCCCGCCU
rnacentral:rRNA from 1 species